rnacentral:rRNA from 1 species
GGUAGUCGUAGUUAACACCUGCACUAUUUGACGUUACCUACAGAAGAAGCACCGGCUAACUCCGUGCCAGCAGCCGCGGUAAUACGGAGGGUGCGAGCGUUAAUCGGAAUUACUGGGCGUAAAGCGCAUGCAGGCGGCCUGUUAAGUCAGAUGUGAAAGACCCGGGGCGUUAACCUCCGGAAUUGCAUUUGAAACUGGCAGGCUAGAGUCUUGUAGAGGGGGGUAGGAAUUUCUAGGUGUAGCGGUGAAAUAGCGUAGAGAUCUGAAGGAAUACCAGUGGCGAAGGCGGCCCCCUGGACAAAGACUGACGCUCAGAUGCGAAAGCGUGGGGAGCCAAACAGGAUUAGAUACCCCUGGUAG